rnacentral:tRNA from 1 species
GGAGAGGUGGCAGAGUGGCUUAAUGCGGCGGUCUCGAAAACCGUUUUGCCGGCAACACCGGCAACGAGGGUUCAAAUCCCUCCCUCUCCGCCA